GGGAGGACCAUCUCCUAAGGCUAAAUACUCUCUAGUGACCGAUAGUGAACCAGUACCGUGAGGGAAAGGUGAAAAGCACCCCGGAAGGGGAGUGAAAUAGAACCUGAAACCGUGUGCUUACAAGUAGUCAGAGCCCGUUAAUGGGUGAUGGCGUGCCUUUUGUAGAAUGAACCGGCGAGUUACGAUUUGAUGCAAGGUUAAGCAGUAAAUGUGGAGCCGUAGCGAAAGCGAGUCUGAAUAGGGCGUUUAGUAUUUGGUCGUAGACCCGAAACCAGGUGAUCUACCCUUGGUCAGGUUGAAGUUCAGGUAACACUGAAUGGAGGACCGAACCGACUUACGUUGAAAAGUGAGCGGAUGAACUGAGGGUAGCGGAGAAAUUCCAAUCGAACCUGGAGAUAGCUGGUUCUCUCCGAAAUAGCUUUAGGGCUAGCCUCAAGUGAUGAUUAUUGGAGGUAGAGCACUGUUUGGACGAGGGGCCCCUCUCGGGUUACCGAAUUCAGACAAACUCCGAAUGCCAAUUAAUUUAACUUGGGAGUCAGAACAUGGGUGAUAAGGUCCGUGUUCGAAAGGGAAACAGCCCAGACCACCAGCUAAGGUCCCAAAAUAUAUGUUAAGUGGAAAAGGAUGUGGCGUUGCCCAGACAACUAGGAUGUUGGCUUAGAAGCAGCCAUCAUUUAAAGAGUGCGUAAUAGCUCACUAGUCGAGUGACACUGCGCCGAAAAUGUACCGGGGCUAAACAUAUUACCGAAGCAGUGGAUUGUCCUUUGGACAAUGGUAGGAGAGCGUUCUAAGGGCGUUGAAGCAUGAUCGUAAGGACAUGUGGAGCGCUUAGAAGUGAGAAUGCCGGUGUGAGUAGCGAAAGACGGGUGAGAAUCCCGUCCACCGAUUGACUAAGGUUUCCAGAGGAAGGCUCGUCCGCUCUGGGUUAGUCGGGUCCUAAGCUGAGGCCGACAGGCGUAGGCGAUGGAUAACAGGUUGAUAUUCCUGUACCACCUAUAAUCGUUUUAAUCGAUGGGGGGACGCAGUAGGAUAGGCGAAGCGUGCGAUUGGAUUGCACGUCUAAGCAGUAAGGCUGAGUAUUAGGCAAAUCCGGUACUCGUUAAGGCUGAGCUGUGAUGGGGAGAAGACAUUGUGUCUUCGAGUCGUUGAUUUCACACUGCCGAGAAAAGCCUCUAGAUAGAAAAUAGGUGCCCGUACCGCAAACCGACACAGGUAGUCAAGAUGAGAAUUCUAAGGUGAGCGAGCGAACUCUCGUUAAGGAACUCGGCAAAAUGACCCCGUAACUUCGGGAGAAGGGGUGCUCUUUAGGGUUAACGCCCAGAAGAGCCGCAGUGAAUAGGCCCAAGCGACUGUUUAUCAAAAACACAGGUCUCUGCUAAACCGUAAGGUGAUGUAUAGGGGCUGACGCCUGCCCGGUGCUGGAAGGUUAAGAGGAGUGGUUAGCUUCUGCGAAGCUACGAAUCGAAGCCCCAGUAAACGGCGGCCGUAACUAUAACGGUCCUAAGGUAGCGAAAUUCCUUGUCGGGUAAGUUCCGACCCGCACGAAAGGCGUAACGAUUUGGGCACUGUCUCAACGAGAGACUCGGUGAAAUCAUAGUACCUGUGAAGAUGCAGGUUACCCGCGACAGGACGGAAAGACCCCGUGGAGCUUUACUGUAGCCUGAUAUUGAAAUUCGGCACAGCUUGUACAGGAUAGGUAGGAGCCUUUGAAACGUGAGCGCUAGCUUACGUGGAGGCGCUGGUGGGAUACUACCCUAGCUGUGUUGGCUUUCUAACCCGCACCACUUAUCGUGGUGGGAGACAGUGUCAGGCGGGCAGUUUGACUGGGGCGGUCGCCUCCUAAAAGGUAACGGAGGCGCUCAAAGGUUCCCUCAGAAUGGUUGGAAAUCAUUCAUAGAGUGUAAAGGCAUAAGGGAGCUUGACUGCGAGACCUACAAGUCGAGCAGGGUCGAAAGACGGACUUAGUGAUCCGGUGGUUCCGCAUGGAAGGGCCAUCGCUCAACGGAUAAAAGCUACCCCGGGGAUAACAGGCUUAUCUCCCCCAAGAGUUCACAUCGACGGGGAGGUUUGGCACCUCGAUGUCGGCUCAUCGCAUCCUGGGGCUGUAGUCGGUCCCAAGGGUUGGGCUGUUCGCCCAUUAAAGCGGUACGCGAGCUGGGUUCAGAACGUCGUGAGACAGUUCGGUCCCUAUCCGUCGUGGGCGUAGGAAAUUUGAGAGGAGCUGUCCUUAGUACGAGAGGACCGGGAUGGACAUACCUCUGGUGUACCAGUUGUCGUGCCAACGGCAUAGCUGGGUAGCUAUGUGUGGACGGGAUAAGUGCUGAAAGCAUCUAAGCAUGAAGCCCCCCUCAAGAUGAGAUUUCCCAACUUCGGUUAUAAGAUCCCUCAAAGAUGAUGAGGUUAAUAGGUUCGAGGUGGAAGCAUGGUGACAUGUGGAGCUGACGAAUACUAAUCGAUCGAAGACU
rnacentral:rRNA from 1 species